rnacentral:misc_RNA from 1 species
UCCCCGUUACCGGGGCAGUCUAGCCAGAGAAAUACAACUGACUAUAGGGGUUGCGCUCGUUGAUGGACUUAACCAAACAUCUCACGACACGAGCUGACGACGGCCAUGCAUCACCUGUCACUUGGCUCAAUAAAGCACUCUCUCCUUUCGGAGAAAUUCCAAGGAUGUCAAACCCUGGUAAGGUUCUUCGCUUACCAUCGAAUUAAACAACACGCUCCACCGCUUGUGCGGGUCCCCGUCAAUUCCUUUAUGUUUUAGCCUUGCGGCCGUACUCCACAGGCGGGAUGCUUAACGCGUUAGCUUCGCUACGCAGCGGGUCGAUACGCCACACAGCUAGCAUCCAUCGUUUACGGCGUGGACUAC